rnacentral:rRNA from 1 species
UGGUGGAGUGAUUUGUCUGGUUAAUUCCGAUAACGAACGAGACCUUAACCUGCUAACUAGUUGCGAGUACGCGAGUAUUCGACACUUCUUAGAGGGACUGACUACGUUUAGUAGUCGGAAGUUUGAGGCAAUAACA